AUGGCUCCUUCACAGCAAGUCGCCGCCACCAAGGAGCCAUCCGCCAACGGCACGGCCGCACCAGCCCCCAAGACCAAGACCCCGGCGCUGAACGAGCGGAUCCUCUCCUCGAUCACGCGCCGGUCGGUGGCGGCGCACCCGUGGCACGACCUGGAGAUCGGCCCGGACGCUCCCACAAUCUUCAACUGCGUGAUCGAGAUCCCCAAGGGGAGCAAGGUCAAGUACGAGCUGGACAAGAAGACGGGGCUCAUCAAGGUGGACCGGGUGCUCUACUCCUCCGUCGUCUACCCGCACAACUACGGCUUCAUCCCGCGCACCCUCUGCGACGACUCCGACCCCAUCGACGUCCUCGUCAUCAUGCAGGAGCCCGUCGUCCCCGGAUGCUUCCUCCGCGCCAAGGCCAUCGGACUCAUGCCCAUGAUCGACCAGGGCGAGGCCGACGACAAGAUCAUCGCCGUCUGCGCCGACGACCCCGAGUACCGCCACUUCAACGACAUCAAGGACCUCCCUCCCCACCGCCUCGCAGAGAUCAGGCGAUUCUUCGAGGACUACAAGAAGAACGAGAACAAGGAGGUUGCCGUCAACGACUUCCUGCCGUCAGAGGACGCCUACGAGGCCAUCCAGCACUCCAUGGAUCUUUAUGCUACUUACAUUGUUGAGGGCCUGAGAAGGUAG
rnacentral:rRNA from 1 species